rnacentral:rRNA from 1 species
AAUAGAUACCCCGGUAGUCCACCCGUAAACGUUGGGAACUAGUUGUGGGUCCAUUCCACGGAUUCCGUGACGCAACUAACGCAUUAAGUUCCCCGCCUGGGGGAGUACGGCCGCAAGGCUAAAACUCAAAGGAAUUGACGGGGACCCGCACAAGCGGCGGAGCAUGCGGAUUAAUUCGAUGCAACGCGAAGAACCUUACCAAGGCUUGACAUAUACGAGAACGGGCCAGAAAUGGUCAACUCUUUGGACACUCGUAAACAGGUGGUGCAUGGUUGUCGUCAGCUCGUGUCGUGAGAUGUUGGGUUAAGUCCCGCAACGAGCGCAACCCUCGUUCUAUGUUGCCAGCACGUAAUGGUGGGAACUCAUGGGAUACUGCCGGGGUCAACUCGGAGGAAGGUGGGGAUGACGUCAAAUCAUCAUGCCCCUUAUGUCUUGGGCUUCACGCAUGCUACAAUGGCCGGUACAAAGGGCUGCAAUACCGCGAGGUGGAGCGAAUCCCAAAAGCCGGUCCCAGUUCGGAUUGAGGUCUGCAACUCGACCUCAUG